GAAAAUUUUCCUGACUGGAAGAGGGCCAAUCUGAAUGAACUCUUAUGUGUCUUGGGAGAGGAAGGAAAGAAGAUUCUGAGCAUGGACCCUGACUUCCAGGAAGACUGUGGCUCCCAUCUUCUCCUAAAUGCCCCACUCUUCUUUCCCAGUGUCCAGACUAGAGAAGGGCAGGAAAGGAAAAAAGGGAGGAGACAAGCAGGUGGUGGAAAACUGAGGCAACCCUAUUAGUUACUUCUUUCUUAAAGUAAAUUUACACAAAAUAUAAAUAUUCCAUAUCUUUAAUGUCCACUAUCGUGUGGAUAGCUUCCAGGAAAACAUUUGUUGCAUUAGAUACUUCAUAGUGAAUGUUGUAAUUAAAUCAACAAAGUAUGAUUUAUAGAGCUUGCUUGUUGACAUUUUAAAUAUUUCAUUGUUAUUUUUAUACUUACUAUAAUGGAACUUAUUAGAAUGAUUCUUACAUAUUUUUCUCAUAAAUCCUUUUUAAAAAAUAGUAUCUCUUCUAGAUAUGCCAAUUUUGAAGCAUAGAAUUGACACAGAUCUUUAAGUUGUUUGCUUUUUUGUUGUUGUUGUUCUGCCUUUUUGAGAGAAAAAAGAAAUAUUGAUCGGAGAAUGCAUUCUAAUUAUGCCAUUAGCCUGAACCUUCAUUAUUUCGCAUCAUGUCUAAAAGCAUCCAAAAUACUUUGAAAUUUCCGUUUGAUUUCUGUGUGUUUAUAUUUUGACAGUUCCUACCAAAUUUCCAUAGUAGUAAUAGAGGGAAAGAAAGUGGAUAUCAAAUAUAAUUUAUUUGAACAUUAAAGUUUUUAAUUAAUACUGUUUGAAUUUGUUAAAUAUGCUGAAGUGUACAUAAUGGGAAAACGUGAUUUUUUUUCCUAAAUGAAUAAAAAUGCAUUUCAUCAAUAACACAGAAUUAAACAAGCAAAAAUAUAUUUUUGGCCUAAAAAGUAGAUGGCAACUUUAAAAGUGUUUCCUUCUUAUUUUAACUUAUAUUCUAUUUGGGUGAAAGAAAGAUACUUUUGUAUUUUACUGGUACAGUCUCACAUUAACCCUUAUUGUUCUGAGGACACUUUACUGUAUGGAUGUGACAUCACCCUGAGUUGCAGAGUGAAACUGUUAUCUGAAUACAUGUGAGUGAAUAGUUAGGAAGAUAUAUGCCUCACUUCUUUUAGUGCUGUGUCUUUAUAGUUGAUAAGUGUUAGUUACUUUUUUUAAAUAAGCAUGAGGUUUUGUUUAGUUGUAUCAGCAUUUGCAUUUGAAUUAUGCCACUUCUCACUAUGCUUACUAAGUUAUACAAGUUGUAAUCAGAAGAAUGAAAACAAAUCUAAGUAUCCACAAGCUUCCUCCUCAGCCUUCAGUAUUUGAGCCAUGUAAAUGAUAUUAAUUCAACAGACUCUUCUUUAUCCCUGUAUCAUUUGUGCCUCAAAGUUACAUUUUCCCACAUAAUAAAGAACUUUUAGAAUAUAAAGAAUAAAGAAAAUUAACUUGUAAUUCUAUCACUUGAACAUAACUGUAGUUGGUGUUUAGAUGUUUGUCCUUCUUGUUUUUAGACUACCUUUUAAAAAUCAGUUUUACAGCAUAGGUAUAUUUCUGAUGUAAAAUUCUAUAAGUGGGAAAAAUAUGGAUCAGAUGAUCCAAAACUAUUUUAACUCUUG
rnacentral:lncRNA from 1 species